UGGGGGAUAUUGCACAAUGGGGGGAACCCGUGAUGCAGCGACGCCGCGUGGGUGAAGAAGCGCCUCGGCGCGUAAAGCCCUGUCAGCAGGGAAAGAAAAUGACGGUACCUGAAGAAGAAGCCCCGGCUAACUACGUGCC
rnacentral:rRNA from 1 species